UUCUGCCUUUCUAGAUGAGAAUCCUGAGACAAACAUGUUAAAGCCUUUUAGACUUACAGGCUGUAUUUUACUUUUCUUUAAGUGCAAGCGAUGGGAAUUGCUAACCCUGGUCAAGAAAAUUUCAUUUCCCCCAUCCGGCUAAACGGCUCUGGUCGACAUAUGUUUGUUAUCAGAGAGAGGUGCUAUGAACACAGAGCCAUUUUCUUAGCAGCUUUUUGACUGUAUGUUACCAUAGUCCCACACGGCAUUGGUCCUUUCCCAUUGGGAAGUCAUGAAUAAGAGACUAUGAAGCUUGCACGUCAGGUCUUCCUCAAUUAAUCCACCAUUAGCAUGUUUGGGAUCCACUACUGGAUGGUUAACAGCAGCUUUGGUAACUGUAUGCUGCCCAUAGCCAAUUAUGCUCUGCUAAAAAUGAACUCUGCAGACCAACCUUCUUGAGCUGUCAGUGUCUCCCGUUUUCCUAUUUUAACGUUUGUAUGUAGUGGCAGGCGACAGAUGGUGUAGAUCAGAUCGAUUUGAUUGCAUUAGGCGAUUUUUUUCCUUCUCUCUCUCCGACUCCUUCUCUGGAAGCUCACAUCAUCUGAAAGGCGAUCGCCGGGGACUCGGAAAGCACCAGCAGCCGCCGAUGAGUGAAGGCAACUGGGCACGGCCAGCCAGAGGCGCCGGGCUUCGCUCCCAGGGCACAGUAAUCCGGCACCAGGAGAGAGAGCCGCGUUCUGCUGCCCGGAGCCUAUUCCCCGCCACAUAUCAGAUGACUCCCUGGUUUUACACACAGUUGGAGUUCUGCUUGAAACCUGGAUUUAAAGGGCAUCUGUUGCUGUAAGUGACAUCUAUUCCAAGCACCCAGAGAGAACUGAUGGAGCACACAGAUGGGAAUAGGAUGCCAGGCAAGCACAGAGGAAGAAAUCAGGAAAUCAUCAGGACUGGAAGUACAGCAACCACUGGAUAAUGGGACGGGAUCACUCAGCAACUCUGUGGAUUCUCCUUCUCCUUCCUCUGUAGGGGAAAUAUAGUUAUGGAUUUAUUGCCCCGGUGCAGCAGUUCCAGCAACAGCAGCAGCCUCGGCAGAUUUCUGACUCUCUUCGGUGACGGGUAUUCUUGGGUGGAUAAUACGGAUUACGUUGUUAUUGCUUAAGAAUACGCGUAGUCGAGGAGAGUACCCGCGGCAGGCAGGCAGGCAGCGGCCGCCCCCAGCCCAGCAGCUGGCUCCUAAUCUACUAUAGUUGCCAAGGGCCUGAUCCUGGCAGUCGAGGGGGCUCACUCCUCCGUGGGAUUGGCCCCUGGUGUAAGAGACCCCACUAUAGAGCUCACCCAGCUUCCCCCAGUGCUGCGCUCUCCUCGGUGUGAUGCUCCCGGGGUCUGGGACCGCACAGCGCACCCAUCUGCCUGCAUUCUCGCCCUAAUCCUCCUCUACGGAUUCAGGGAAGCUCAACUCAGUAGCUGGGCAAAGAAAAGACAAAACUCCACCUUUCCUGCUAAAGACAGAGACAUGGGAAACGCUGUCAAGUCCUGCACUUGGCAGGAAGCAACAUGGGGCCACCCCUAGCACCCCAGCGAGUGCCCUAGAGCCCCAGUUUCUUUUUUCUGUCCAUGCUAAUCGCUUCGCUGUACUCAAUGCCAGGAAUGCAGAGGAGCAAAUAAAGACUCCAAAGAGAUCUCCUGGCCUCCUGUAGAACGCUACAGGUCGCAUGAAUUCCCGGGGAACUCAAGUGACAGGAGCUAAGCUAAAGGGCAGCUACCCAAAGAUGUUACACCAGCUGGAGCAUUCAUAUAGGCACAGCUAGACAGCGAUGGACGGGGAAUUUGCUGUUGAGUUAAAUCUUCCCCAUCUCAGAGUAUUUUCUGAUUUCUGCUCAUUCCCUCGCUUCAUCUUUUCCCUUAACUAAGCAAAUGAACCUCCGCCCUAAAUUGCCAGCUUUCGCUCAUAACUCUUUCCUGACAAGAACAGGGCAAACUUUUUCUUUUUUUUUUGGUAGCAAAUCUGCCUCCAAGUCAAAGUACAGCCCCAUGGUCCCCUUUUUAACAUUGCAAACUGCUGGUAUGGUCUGUGGCCUUCUGCAACCGCCGCCCAUAGCCAGAACGGAGCCCUUUGGGGCAAUGCAAUAUUAAGAAAUAACAGGCAGACGCAAGAAGGCCAAACAACAACAACAACAAAAUCCUUCUGGGGUCUUUUUGGGGGGUUGUUGCACAGUUUGAAUUUUGUUGAGCUCAAAAGGCGAUAGUUUCACGUAGAUUUUGUCCCGCCGACGCGCUUCAGGGAGCCCAACUUUCUUGCUAGCCUGUCACUGUUCUUGCCAUGGUGCCUGUCGCCCAGACGGCUGCUUUCGAGCUCUUCACAGCACCUUCUCUGGACUAAAACGAGAGUUUGAUGCAUGUGGCCCAGUGUAGGGAAACGAAGGCAGGUACCUUUUGGAAGGAGCCUUUUAUGGCGACAGCACAAUAGGCACUGCCUAGCUUUGCUUUGAUUUUUAUGACUAGCAAGCUACCUCCCCUUUUCAGAGAGAACCCACGAAAGGAAAGAAAGGGGGUUUGUCCAUCUUGAUACUUCUGCGAUCGGUGCUGAGGGAAGGUCCAUUGUCCAUCAUACCCGGGCACUGGCUAAAACCUGCGGCAAGGACUCACGAGAAAGGAUUCUUGGGGGAAUGUCAGAAAAUCCCAAGGCGGGAGACCUAAAUCUAAAGGAAAUCACAGCAAAGCCUAUUUAACUGAACCACACAAUAUUCUGGACCUUGUCGUAGUGAUCGAUCUAGAAUGAUUAAUCAACACCAAUAGCCUUUCUCCAGACUCACGCCUAAGUUCCCAACGGGAUGCAGCACUAGAACAGUGCAGAUGGAUUUGACAGUUUAAGAGCUUUUUUUAUUUUUAACAAUAUUAUGUAGCAGCAAAAAGCGACGAGCCUUAGAAAGAAAGGGAGGAAAUUAAAAUCUUAAAUCACAAAUGGCUGAUUUAUCUUGGGAAUUAACUCGUUUGCUUUAGAAAAUAACCUCUUUGCAGAGGCUGCCAUUCCCCACUGGUCAGUCCUGCUCAAGAUGUGAAUCUGUAGAGUAACUACGUUGUAUGUGCUAUUCAGCCGGAUUCAGGUGUUGACACUGGCUGAGCCUGAGCCUGAGCCUGUCGUGUGUUACCUUGUAACAAUAAGCCGUCUUCACUCAGCUGCAGCCGGGUGUGCAAAGGUUGAAUAGUGCUAAAAUGCGCUUUCUUUACUACUAGCGCCGAACUAAAUCCUGAAGUCCUCGUCUCCCAAUACCAUUUAUGCUUUAGGUGACAGUAAAAUAAAUAACCUGGCUGCUUAAGCUCACGUUUUCCUUCUUUUGUCAGUCAAUAAUCCCAGCCCACCACACAGCCCCGAAGUUUGUGGUUUAUAGUUGUGGCCCUGAAGUUCUCCCGAGUGUAUCACAGCCACAGAGCGGGGGUUGACAGUUUGAUCUCUGUGUGUAAAAUCAAAUGUAGGCAAAGAGAUCCCUGUCGGCUACAUAGAAGGGAUAGGUUCAUAGAGGGGCCUUAUCCCAGGAAGUGUAUGGAAUAUAGUAUCCUGAAAUGCAAGUGGCAGGCAGGCUGAUGU